UACAGAGGUCCCAAGCGUUGUUCGGAUUCACUGGGCGUAAAGGGUGCGUAGGCGGUCGGGUAAGUCUGAUGUGAAAUCUCACAGCUUAACUGUGAAACUGCAUUGGAUACUAUCCGGCUCGAGGAAUGGAGGGGAGACUGGAAUACUUGGUGUAGCAGUGAAAUGCGCAGAUAUCAGGAGGAACACCGGUGGCGAAGGCGGGUCUCUGGGCCGAUAUCGACGCUGAGGAGCGAAAGCGUGGGGAGCGAACAGG
rnacentral:rRNA from 1 species